GAACGCACGCGGCAGGCCCCACACACGCAAGCCGAGGGGGCGGGUCACUUCCGGGCACCGAGACCGGCGUCCGGGCGCGUCACGCGUAUACAAUCCGCCUUUCACCGGGGGAUAGCCCGAAGAAAAUUCGGAUCAUACCCCAUAGUCAUAUAGGGACGGCAUCGUUUUUAUAUUAAAGCCUAGGCGGUCGAAAGACGAGUAACGCGCUCUAUUAGCUAGUUCGGAGAGGUAACGGCUCCCCAAGGCGAAGAUAGAUAGGGGUUCUGAGAGGGAAGUCCCCCACACUGGUACUGAGAUACGGACCAGACUCCUACGGGAGGCAGCAGUGAGGAAUAUUCGGACAAUGGUCGGAAGACUGAACCAGCCAUGCCGCGUCGCAGGAUGAAGGUCUUAUGGAUCGUAAACUGCCUUUUGUAAGGGAAGAAUAAGGGCUACGUGUAGUCUGAUGACGGUACCUUUAAGAAUAAGCAUCGGCUAACUCCGUGCCAGCAGCCGCGGUAAUACGGAGGAUGCGAGCGUUAUCCGGAAUCAUUUGGGUUUAAAGGGUCUGUAGGCGGGCUGGUAAGUCAGAGGUGAAAGCGCUCAGCUCAACUGAGCAACUGCCUUUGAAACUGUUGGUCUUGAAUGAUUGUGAAGUAGUUGGAAUGUGUAGUGUAGCGGUGAAAUGCUUAGAUAUUACACAGAACACCGAUAGCGAAGGCAUAUUACUAACAAUUGAUUGACGCUGAUGGACGAAAGCGUGGGGAGCGAACAGGAUUAGAUACCCUGGUAGUCCACGCUGUAAACGAUGGAUACUAGCUGUUUGGAGUAAUCUGAGUGGCUAAGCGAAAGUGAUAAGUAUCCCACCUGGGGAGUACGUUCGCAAGAAUGAAACUCAAAGGAAUUGACGGGGGCCCGCACAAGCGGUGGAGCAUGUGGUUUAAUUCGAUGAUACGCGAGGAACCUUACCGAGGUUUAAAUGGAGACUGACAGGGGUAGAGAUACCCUUUUCUUCGGACAGUUUUCAAGGUGCUGCAUGGUUGUCGUCAGCUCGUGCCGUGAGGUGUCAGGUUAAGUCCUAUAACGAGCGCAACCCCUGUUGCUAGUUACCAUCAUUAAGUUGGGGACUCUAGCAAGACUGCCUGCGAAGAGCAGGAGGAAGGUGGGGAUGACGUCAAGUCAUCAUGCCCCUUAUGAAUCUGGGCUACACACGUGCUACGAAUGGGCUGUACAGAGAGGAGCGAGGCGGUGAACGCGGAGCGAAUCUUGAAAAGCGAGUUCGAAGUUCGGAUUGAAAGUCUGCAAACUCGACUUCAUGAAAGUGGAAAUCGCUAGUAACGCGGAUCAGCAAUGCCGCGGUGAAAUACGUUUCUCGGGUCUUGUACCACCGCCCGUCAAA
rnacentral:rRNA from 1 species